AUGGAUCGGGUCAAUUGGGGUAAAAGCCUAUUCGAAAAUUGCCACUCCAUGGAAACCCUAGGGAGAUUAGUAGAGCCGUUGUAUAUGUCUUGGUCAUUAUCCAACAUUAAUUUUUCAUUUUUAAUUACAAAACUCAAACAAACCAGAAACAAAAGUUCAACUAUUUGUAACUUCCAUUCUCAUGCUUCAAUUUCUGUAAUCGACAUCACUCUGAUUCUUUCACGCUUCAAGUUCUCCAUGUAA